AUAUUUCAAACUCUUAGUUUUAAAGGAGAACAACUUUUAUCAUACGGCAAUUCUAUAAAAUGAAGAGAAAACAUUUUGCUAGCUCAGAAAAAUAAUUAAUGUAUGGAAUGUCAUUCUGUGUGCUUUCAGUAUAGUUAAAUAUAUAUAUAAAUAAGAUCUUAGCUGAAAGAACUAAUUGUUUAAUUUGAGAUAUCUAUAAACAUACAUGGAUUGAAUUGCCAUUAACCCAGAGGUCUCUCUGGGCUAUAUGUGAUAGUACGAAGUGAACGUGUACUAGAAAGCUGCAUGGAAACGACGCUCAAAAGUCAAAAUGUGUUUAAGCAUAUAUACUCUCCCACGUUUCAAGAACAAGUGUACCUUAUUGCAAAUUAAGUUUAUGGCUCGAAUACGGUGCAAGUAUAGCGAUAAUGCCGUUAAACGUCUGGAUUUUUAUUUUGGCCUAACAAGAACAUUGCUGUCAUGCUGAUCGACAAUAAUUCUUAGAUGUCUUUCUUAGAGGCUUUCUAGCCCAGUUGUAAAAUAUUUAAUUCGAUCGUUAACAUAAUAAAUAAUAUUUCAACCGGUUUAAAACACACACCCAUUU